UACAGGCCUAUAUGGUAUACCUAAGUGGUACCUCUUUCAUACGCCGGGAGGCUUCGUUAAUGACGAGGAUCAAGUGUCAAACUUCUUAUACGACUAUCACUACUCUACCUACUCUACGAUGAUCUUCCUAAACCUUACAUGCUAUGAGCAUGAAAUCCUCUCCUCGUUCUCAGACUUCUACUAAACCUGCUACUACGACUCCGUAUGAUAUCUAAUCAAUUACUACCUGUGGUUCUCAACAUGGGUCCACCUCAGCGAAACCUCGCGGAACGAGUUCAACUUCGACUUGAUGUACAACGAUUUGUUCUCUUGUACCUCGAAGCCGUACACCACGUAUGAGACCACCGUUUAGUUUGAAGUUACUACCGGUUCUCACUCUCUUACCGUCUUGUCAUGUUACUCGAUUUUUCAAACUAGUAUCGAAGAUCCCCCAGACAACUUUACCCUCCUUAAGGUCUUUUCCUCGAAGGUUUAUUUCUUGGAAGAUUCCUGAACCUUUGGUACUUACUGCUUCUUGUUCGUUGAAGUGAAAGUAUAUGAUGGUUCCGUAGGCUCCGUUACCGACGAGGUUCCGACGAGGUUCCGUUACCGAUGAGAUUCAACCACUUCCGUAGGGUUGACCUUAGUUUCUGUUGUCUUAGUCGUGAUGGUUCAGAACGCGGACACGGUUUUGGUUUCUUCUGUUUCUGUUGAUUUGUAUUCUUUGGUCCUUAUAAAGUUUGUGGCGAGGUUUUACCUGGUUUCCUACCUAAUCUUCUAUGGUAUUUCACACCGUACCUUCAAUCAAACUGCAGCGGUUUAUCACGUUCACACCACCGUUACCCUUGGUAAGUCUUUUGACUAUCUUUUCGAUUUCGAUAACUACCGGUUGGUGAUCGACUAACACAACUUCAAGAAUAGUUGCAGCACGAGUUUCUUUGUUGACUCGACGGAGCACGUGUUCCCUUUUAUUUGUUCGAUCCUUUACGGGUUCGAUCCACAUAAGGUACCGGUGCGUUUUUAUAAUACGUUUAUCUAGCAUGAUGGCACGACGUGAGAUUCCAAAGAUCACAAACAUCAGUCCACAGAAAGUUGUUAUCGCUCUUACACCUAGGGUUGUUUUGUUGAUGACCUUGAGUCCACUGGUUGGUACUCUGACCAACGUCAUGAAGUCUUCCACGUCACUCAUUAUGUGACUUCUCUUUCUUCCAAAGAUUUUGUUGUUCUUACUUUUUUCGAUGAGUUCGUUAGAGACGAUGUUGGCCUUUGUUGUAUGAAUCCUUAAGCCCGUCCCUUUGUACUUUCUACCAGUAUCUUCGGAUCUUUACGACCAUGUGACGAGUUCCAACUUCAACUUCCACUGUGUAGUGACUAAACGAACGGGAACACACACGGGCAGAUUCUAACCGAACGAGAAUACGACCAUGUGACGACUAACCUAACGAGAACGUAGUUCGACCUUGUGAACAAGCAUAACAACAGUGUUGUAAUCCUUCACUGGACACACAAAGACUAACUAUGAAACUAUAACAAAGACUUAAACACUUCUACAAGAAUACCACUACGAAACGUAAUAAGCGUACGUGCUACUAUGAAGAUCGGCUACGUUCGAAGAGUUAGAAAAAAAGAUAACAUACACAAAAAUGUCU
rnacentral:rRNA from 1 species